rnacentral:lncRNA from 1 species
CACUCUCCAUCCGACUGUGGCCUCUUCCUCUUGCGGUCCCUCCCGUCGUCAUCCGGUGAACCGACUUCAACCCACCACCCCCAACGUGUAGCAUGUGCAUUGCCUUCCAGCAGCAACCCUCUGACAAAGGGGUCACAAUCUAUCUUAUCCUACUAAUGAAGGAAGCUGGCAGCCAGAACCGGAGGCGAGGGGCAACCUUACGCUGCGGAGGUCUAUCGGCGGCCGAUGCGAAGGCAGCCACUGGUUAACUGUAGAUCAUCGGCUUUUGGUCCGGACGCCAUCGAAGCCCGACAGCAUGAACUGGUCUGGAUAAUGUUACAUUCCUGAC